rnacentral:snRNA from 1 species
AGUUGAGUUGACCUAUGA